rnacentral:rRNA from 1 species
UACGAAGGGGGCUAGCGUUGUUCGGAUUUACUGGGCGUAAAGCGCACGUAGGCGGAUUGUUAAGUCGGGGGUGAAAUCCUGGGGCUCAACUCAGAAUUGCCUCCGAUACUGGCAGUCUCGAGUGCGGGAGAGGUGAGUGGAAUUCCCAGUGUAGAGGUGAAAUUCGUAGAUAUUGGGAAGAACACCAGUGGCGAAAGGGCGGC